AUACGGAAGGUCCGGGCGUUAUCCGGAUUUAUUGGGUUUAAAGGGAGCGCAGGCGGCCUGUUAAGCGUGAGGUGAAAGCUCGGGGCUCAACCCCGGAACUGCCUCGCGAACUGGCGGGCUUGAAUGUCCGUGCCGGGGGAGGAAUGUGGGGUGUAGCGGUGAAAUGCAUAGAGAUCACACAGAACACCGAUUGCGAAGGCAUCUCACGAACGGAUGAUUGACGCUGAGGCACGAAAGCGUGGGGAUCAAACAGGAUUAGAUACCCUGGUAGUCCACGCAGUAAACGAUGAUUACUAGCUGUUUGCGAUAUACAGUAAGUGGCACAGCGAAAGCGUUAAGUAAUCCACCUGGGGAGUACGCCGGCAACGGUGAAACUCAAAUGAAUUGACGGGG
rnacentral:rRNA from 1 species